UACGUAGGGGGCAAGCGUUGUCCGGAUUUAUUGGGCGUAAAGAGCGUGUAGGCGGUCAGGUAGGUCCGUUGUGAAAACUCGAGGCUCAACCUCGAGACGCCGAUGGAAACCAUCUGACUAGAGUCCGGAAGAGGAGAGUGGAAUUCCUGGUGUAGCGGUGAAAUGCGCAGAUAUCAGGAAGAACACCCGUGGCUAAGGCGGCUCUCUGGGCCUUACCUGACGCUGAGGAGCGAAAGCGUGGGGAGCGAACAGG
rnacentral:rRNA from 1 species